CUCUUAGUUCUUUGAUCUCUACUUUGUUCUAGGAUUCAUAACAUCUUUCUGAACAAGGAAGAAAGCUUGAAUAUAUCUUGGGACAAAGCCAAUGACAGUGUUAAGCAAUUCCUGAACCACUCAAGAAACUCUUGGACCAAAAAGAAACCAUAAAUAAGGAUAAGCCCAAAGAAGAAAUUUGAAUAUGUGGAACAAAUAUGGAUUUUUCAAGCACUGUAAUUCAUGUGAGCUGGAUAAAUUCAAUAGUAUGGGAGAGGAGAAUGGGAUGGGGUGUUAAUUUGGUCUGGAGAACUUCACUGGUCUCUGGUAAGUGGAACCCACAAGAAGGAUGAAUUGUUAAAACUCUAGUAUGUUCUUUUCAGUUCUGUGGUGGUAUCAUCCAGGAAGAUAUGAGGAGACUAGAAGCCUUUAUUGGUCAUCAUCAAAAUGGGUCUCCUUAGAAAGAAAAUAAAAGUAAUUUUGAUUUUUCA
rnacentral:lncRNA from 1 species